UACGAAGGGUGCAAGCGUUGCUCGGAAUUAUUGGGCGUAAAGAGUUGGUAGGUGGUCUUGUUUGUCUAAGGUGAAAUCCCAUGGCUUAACUGUGGAAGUGCCUUAGAAACGGCAAGACUAGAGUCCUAGAGGGGUUUGUGGAAUUCCCGGUGUAGCGGUGAAAUGCGUAGAGAUCGGGAGGAACACCAGCGGCGAAGGCGGCAAACUGGAUAGGCACUGACACUCAACAACGAAAGCGUGGGGAGCAAACAGG
rnacentral:rRNA from 1 species